rnacentral:lncRNA from 1 species
UGUUCGUACCUCAUUGGAAAAUCGGUGUAGUUGGCAAGAUGCAAGUCCAAAAUAUUUAAUUUUGUGAUAUCAUAUUCAUUGCUAUUGUACGCAUUUGAAAAAAAAUGUUUUUUUAAAAUAAAAAAGAAAAAAAUAAUUGUUGAAACAAUGUUUUAUGCUGCAUGCGACAAGCUUCAGUUUUAAAAACGGCUAUUUUUUAGGCUGUCCCGCGUAACAUAUUUCAUUUAUUGUAACCACUAAACUGUGAUUUUCGUCUAAAGUAUUUAAUAUUUUGAAAAACGGUUUUUUCCAUUAUUUUACACAAAGGUUCCUUCAGUUUUUUAUGCAUUUUUUAUGACGUUAUGAUGACGUCAUAGAAAAAAUAAAGUGUUCCAUACAACAAGGGCAAAUCUGUCCCACGGGGA